rnacentral:rRNA from 1 species
AACGCGAAGAACCUUACCUGGCCUUGACAUGCAGAGAACUUUCCAGAGAUGGAUGGGUGCCUUCGGGAACUCUGACACAGGUGCUGCAUGGCCGUCGUCAGCUCGUGUCGUGAGAUGUUGGGUUAAGUCCCGUAACGAGCGCAACCCCUAUCCCUAGUUGCUAGCAGUUCGGCUGAGAACUCUAGGGAGACUGCCGGUGACAAACCGGAGGAAGGUGGGGAUGACGUCAGGUCAUCAUGGCCCUUACGGCCAGGGCUACACACGUGCUACAAUGGUGCGCACAGAGGGCUGCAAACCCGCGAGGGGGAGCCAAUCUCACAAAACGCAUCGUAGUCCGGAUCGCAGUCUGCAACUCGACUGCGUGAAGUCGGAAUCGCUAGUAAUCGUGAAUCAGAAUGUCACGGUGAAUACGUUCCCGGGUCUUGUACACACCG